rnacentral:RNase_P_RNA from 1 species
GGGCGCCGGCAGGCAGUCGCGGGGCGCGGAGCGUUUCUUCGGAGAUGUGACGUGCAACGAGGCAAAGUCCGGUCUCCAUAGGGCAGCGUGCCGGCUAACGGCCGGGGGGGCGGGCUCAAAGCCCGUUCCACGGAUCAGUGCCACAGAAAAUAUACCGCCGGUGGGCCGCCAGGCUCGCAGGUAAGGGUGAAAUGGUGCGGUAAGAGCGCACCGCGUUGCGGGUAACCGUAAUGGCAGGGAAAACCCCACGUGGAGCAAGACCAAAUAGGGGAGGAUGGCGUGGCCCACGCCGUUUGCACUCCCGGGUAGGUUGCUUGAGCCUGUCAG